rnacentral:rRNA from 1 species
GGAGGGUGCAAGCAUUAAUCGGAAUUAUUGGGCGUAAAGGGCGCGUAGGUGGUAGAUCAAGUCACAUGUGAAAUUCCAAGGCUCAACCUUGGAACUGCAUGUGAAACUGGCCUGCUAGAGGUAAAGCGGAGAAAACGGAAUUUCCCGUGUAGCGGUGAAAUGCGUGGAUAUGGGAAGGAACACCGGUGGCGAAGGCGGCUUUCUAGCUUUAACCUGACACUGAGGCGCGAAAGCGAGGGGAGCAAACAGGGAUUAGAUACCCUGGUAGUCCUCGCUGUAAACGAUGCAUACUUGAUGUGAACUAGGCUCAACCCUAGUCGUGUCGAAGCUAACGCGAUAAGUAUGCCGCCUGGGAGUACGCUCGCAAGGGUG